GGGGUGGGGUGACCCAAGGGACUCCCCCUAUAUUUCAUCUGAUUUGUUAUAUUGUCCCAUACAUGAAUAUAUAUGGUUUAAGGGUGGGGAUCUCGACCAUUUCUAAAUUCUAAAACAGGAGGGGUGGGGUGACCCCUAGCGACUCCUAUAUUUCAUUUGAUUUUUUAUAUUGUCAAAAACAUGAAUAUAUAUGGUUAAGGGGUGUGGAUCUCGACCGUUUCCAAGUUCUCAAACAGGAGGGGUGGGGUAAUUCCAGGGACUCCCCCUAUAUUUUAUUUUU
rnacentral:lncRNA from 1 species